rnacentral:tRNA from 1 species
GGUGGCUCAGUGGUAGAGUGUUUGCCUUGCAUGCAUGAGGUCCUGGGUUCAAUUCCUCAGCACCA